UAGGGAAUAUUGGACAAUGGGGGCAACCCUGAUCCAGCCAUGCCGCGUGAGUGAAGAAGGCCCUCGGGUUGUAAAGCUCUUUUGUCCGGAAAGAAAAGCAUUCGGUGAAUACCCGGAUGUUCUGACGGUACCGGAAGAAUAAGCACCGGCUAACUUCGUGCCAGCAGCCGCGGUAAUACGAAGGGUGCAAGCGUUACUCGGAAUUACUGGGCGUAAAGCGUGCGUAGGUGGUUGUUUAAGUCUGAUGUGAAAGCCCUGGGCUCAACCUGGGAAUGGCAUUGGAAACUGGGCAGCUAGAGUGCGGUAGAGGGUAGCGGAAUUCCCGGUGUAGCAGUGAAAUGCGUAGAGAUCGGGAGGAACAUCUGUGGCGAAGGCGACUGCCUGGACCAGCACUGACACUGAGGCACGAAAGCGUGGGGAGCAAAC
rnacentral:rRNA from 1 species